rnacentral:rRNA from 1 species
UGGGUAACCUGCCCAAGAGAUCGGGAUAACACCUGGAAACAGAUGCUAAUACCGGAUAACAACAGAUGAUGCCUAUCAACUGUUUAAAAGAUGGUUCUGCUAUCACUUAUAGAUGGAUCCGCGCUGCAUUAGCUAGUUGGUAAGGUAACGGCUUACCAAGGCAACGAUGCGUAGCCGACCUGAGAGGGUGAUCGGCCACACUGGAACUGAGACACGGUCCAGACUCCUACGGGAGGCAGCAGGU